GUCCACGGCCAUACCACCCUGAAUGCUCCCGAUCUCGUCUGAUCUUGGGAGUUAAGCAGGGUCGGGCCUGGUUAGUGCUGGGAUA
rnacentral:rRNA from 1 species